GGCAUUCGAUGGCCGAGGGGUUAAGGCGUGGGACUCAAGCGUAACAGCUUGCCUGUCUAGGGUUUCUCAUCACGUAAUGUGGCGCCGGCGUGGGUUCGAAUCCCACUCUUGUCA